rnacentral:rRNA from 1 species
CACAGCAGUAGCAAUACUGUGGGUGGCGAGUGGCGGACGGGUGAGGAAUACAUCGGAAUCUACCUUUUCGUGGGGGAUAACGUAGGGAAACUUACGCUAAUACCGCAUAAGACCUUCGGGUGAAAGUGGGGGACCUUCGGGCCUCACGCGGAUAGAUGAGCCGAUGUCGGAUUAGCUUGUUGGCGGGGUAAAAGCCCACCAAGGCGACGAUCCGUAGCUGGUCUGAGAGGAUGAUCAGCCACACUGGAACUGAGACACGGUCCAGACUCCUACGGGAGGCAGCAGUGGGGAAUAUUGGACAAUGGGCGCAAGCCUGAUCCAGCCAUACCGCGUGGGUGAAGAAGGCCUUCGGG